rnacentral:rRNA from 1 species
GACGAACGCUGGCGGCGUGCUUAACGCAUGCAAGUCGAACGGAAAGGCCAUGCUUUUGUGGGGUGCUCGAGUGGCGAACGGGUGAGUAACACGUGAGUAACCUGCCCUUGACUUUGGGAUAACUUCAGGAAACUGGGGAUAAUACCGGAUAGGAGCUCAUGCCGCAUGGUGGGGGAUGGAAAGUUUCGGCGGUGGGGGAUGGACUCGCGGCUUAUCAGCUUGUUGGUGGGGUAGUGGCUUACCAAGGCUUUGACGGGUAGCCGGCCUGAGAGGGUGACCGGCCACCUUGGGACUGGGAUACGGCCCAGACUCCUACGGGAGGCAGCAGUGGGGAAUAUUGCACUGUGGGCGGGAGCCUGAUGCAGCAACGCCGCGUGCGGGAUGACGGCCUUCGGGUUGUAAACCGCUUUCGCCUGUGACGAAGCGUGAGUGACGGUAAUGGGUAAAGAAGCACCGGCUAACUACGUG